AUUGAACGCUGGCGGCAGGCUUAACACAUGCAAGUCGAGCGGGGAAAGAUAGCUUGCUACCUGACCUAGCGGCGGACGGGUGAGUAAUGCUUAGGAAUCUGCCUAUUAGUGGGGGACAACAUCUCGAAAGGGAUGCUAAUACCGCAUACGUCCUACGGGAGAAAGCAGGGGACCUUCGGGCCUUGCGCUAAUAGAUGAGCCUAAGUCGGAUUAGCUAGUUGGUGGGGUAAAGGCCUACCAAGGCGACGAUCUGUAGCGGGUCUGAGAGGAUGAUCCGCCACACUGGGACUGAGACACGGCCCAGACUCCUACGGGAGGCAGCAGUGGGGAAUAUUGGACAAUGGGGGGAACCCUGAUCCAGCCAUGCCGCGUGUGUGAAGAAGGCCUUUUGGUUGUAAAGCACUUUAAGCGAGGAGGAGGCUACCGAGAUUAAUACUCUUGGAUAGUGGACGUUACUCGCAGAAUAAGCACCGGCUAACUCUGUGCCAGCAGCCGCGGUAAUACAGAGGGUGCAAGCGUUAAUCGGAUUUACUGGGCGUAAAGCGCGCGUAGGUGGCCAAUUAAGUCAAAUGUGAAAUCCCCGAGCUUAACUUGGGAAUUGCAUUCGAUACUGGUUGGCUAGAGUAUGGGAGAGGAUGGUAGAAUUCCAGGUGUAGCGGUGAAAUGCGUAGAGAUCUGGAGGAAUACCGAUGGCGAAGGCAGCCAUCUGGCCUAAUACUGACACUGAGGUGCGAAAGCAUGGGGAGCAAACA
rnacentral:rRNA from 1 species